rnacentral:tRNA from 1 species
GGUUCGGUGGUCUAGGGGUAUGAUUCUGGCUUAGGGUACGAGAGGUCCCGGGUUCAAAUCCCGGCCGAACCC